GUCUACAGCCAUACCACCCUGAACAUGCCCAAUCUUGUCUGACCUUGGAAUCUAAGCAGGGUCAGGCUUGGUUGGUACUUGGAUGGGAGGCCACCUGGGAAUAUCGGGUGCUGUAUGAG
rnacentral:rRNA from 1 species